ensembl:lncRNA
CUGUUGAUACAGGAUUACAACAAAUAUUAAAAGAGAAUUCUGAAAUAGCACCACAAGGGAUAACUCAAAACUAUAUGGACCAGUAUCAGAAUAAAUUACUCAUAUAUACAGACGGGUCAAAACAGCCUGAGACUGGCCGCAACUGGUGCGGCUUUUUUCAUUCCCCGGUAUGAAGUAGCGGUCAAAAAAGGGUGACCGAUCAUUUAUCAGUGUACACUGUAGAACUGUUAGGAGUCCUAUUGGCACUGCAGUUUUUGGGAAAAAAUAAUCAGAACCAAGAUGUCGCUAUAGCUUCUGACAGUCUAUCAGCACCAUCAAGCAUACAGUCUGGGAAAACAUCAUGCAGACAAGACAUUGUCUACCAAAUACUUCAUCUGCUUCUCAUACUUCAUGCUAAGGGGCUGAGUGUUCCUUCUUCUGGGUUCCUGCACAUGUAGGGGUAGAAGGAAAUGAAACUGUGGAUGUACUGGCAAAGAGAUCUAUAAAGCAUGAAACAGUUGAUAUACAAGUACCAUUAAGUAGAGCAGAGAUCAAAACCAUUAUAAAGGGACAAGAGCAUAAAAUACGGCAGGAACACUGGGACACAGCUGACACCGGACGACACCUACAUACCAUACAAAAACAGUAGGCACGAGUGUGAGGCAGGGCAGGAACCCAAAGGAAGAGAUGAUAGUACACGUCUUAGAAUAGGUCAUGCUGGAUUAAAUCUAGCAUUAAACAGAAUAGGAAAACACCCCACUGGACUCUGCACACACUGCAGUACACAAGAGACGGUGAAACACGUACUGUUAGACUGCAAAAGGUAUGAGGAGGAAAGAACUGAGCUAGAGAUGCAGAUUGGAAAACAAAACAUGACACUAGAGAACUUGCUGGGGAAAACAUCUGGGGAAAUGCACCGCCCCCUAAUGAACUAUCUAAAAAUACUGGGAUAAGUGAGAGACUUUAAUAACUUAGCAUGAAUACCUAGUAUAUAGUUUGUUUUUUAUUUAUGUAUUAUUAUUAUUAUUAUUAUUAUUAUUAUUAUUAUUAUUAUUAUCAUCCUGCCAAUCUGCCGGCCACACUCCAGUCCCGUAGGUGGCGGUAAUGCACCUUCAGGUGGUAAAAACAAACAGAAGACGAAGAAGCGCCCCUUUCUGCUUUUCUCUCCAGAGAUGUGAGCAUGCUUUUUUGUGUCUCUAGUGUUAAUCUCGAUUAAUCUAUCUAUUUUACAAGUAAUUAAAAUUGUAAAACUUGUACAUCGGAUUUAAGAAACAGCUUUUCUAUCAUUUUUACGGUAUAUCUUUUAUAUACCUUAUAUAUAUCUUUUAUAUUUUUCUGUUUAGUACAGAGUCAUUUUCCUGCGCGUGAGUUUUGAGAGGUUCCCUGCAGUUUCUAAAACUAUGUGUGUUAACCCCCUGGGGACGUGAGAAUCGCCGGCGAGCUCCACCAUGUCAGGGGGAGGAGUGAAGCUACGAGUGUGUGCUGGUGAGAAACAGGAGUUUCUCUCUGAUGGGUGGAGGAACAUUCAGGAAGUCUGGUGCUUUACAGCAAUUCGAGUGUAUUGAAGUGUACAUUGCCUUUUAUUUCCCUGAUGUUUGCUAAAUUGCUGAAAUAAAUGUGAAUUUAUUAUACGUGUGAAUCCUACAAUAAAAAGGUCAAAUGUGUAAAGUGUGUGUGGUCGUCAUUAUUGCAGACUGAAGGAAGUACAAAACGCCAAAAGCUGAUGUUUCUGAUUAUUAUACAGACUCCUGGUUUUCUAACA